rnacentral:rRNA from 1 species
GACGAACGCUGGCGGCGUGCUUAACACAUGCAAGUCGAGCGGUAAGGCCCUUUUGGGGGUACACGAGCGGCGAACGGGUGAGUAACACGUGGGUGACCUGCCCUCAGCUCUGGGAUAAGCCUGGGAAACCGGGUCUAAUACCGGAUAUGACUCCAUGACGCAUGUUGUGGGGUGGAAAGCCUUGUGCGGCUGAGGAUGGACCCGCGGCCUAUCAGCUUGUUGGUGGGGUGAUGGCCUACCAAGGCGACGACGGGUAGCCGGCCUGAGAGGGCGACCGGCCACACUGGGACUGAGACACGGCCCAGACUCCUACGGGAGGCAGCAGUGGGGAAUCUUGCGCAAUGGGCGAAAGCCUGACGCAGCGACGCCGCGUGAGGGAUGACGGCCUCGGU